rnacentral:rRNA from 1 species
CCUACGGGAGGCAGCAGUAGGGAAUAUUCGGCAAUGGGGGGAACCCUGACCGAGCAAAGCCGCGUGAACGAAGAAGUUAUUAGGAAUGUAAAGUUCUUUUAACAGGGAAGAAAGAGAAAUGUGACGGUACCUGAAGAAUAAGCUCCGGCUAACUACGUACCAGCAGCCGCGGUAAUGCGUAGGGAGCGAGCGUGAUCCGGAUUGAUUGGGCGUAAAGGGGGCGUAGAUGGCAUAGUAAGGCUUAUGUAAGAGUGCUGGGCUCACCCCAGGAGGGCAAAAGAUACUGCAAAGCUUGAGUAUGGUAGAGGUAUGUGGAACUACUUGUGUAGCGGUGAAAUGCGUAGAUAUAUGGAAGAACACCAGUGGCGAAGGCGGCUUACUGGGUCGAUACUGACAUUGAGGCACGAAAGCGUGGGGAGCAAACAGGAUUAGAUACCCUAGUAGUC